rnacentral:rRNA from 1 species
ACUGAACGCUGGCGGCAGGCAUAACACAUGCAAGUCGAGCGGUAACAGGAGAAGCUUGCUUCUCGCUGACGAGCGGCGGACGGGAGAGUAAUACUUAGGAAUCUACCUAGUAGUGGGGGAUAGCUCGGGGAAACUCGAAUUAAUACCGCAUACGACCUACGGGAGAAAGGGGGCAACUUGUUGCUCUCGCUAUUAGAUGAGGCUAAGUCGGAUUAGCUAGAUGGUGGGGUAAAGGCCUACCAUGGCGACGAUCUGUAGCUGGUCUGCGAUGAUGACCAGCCACACCGGGACAGGGACACGGCCCGGACUCCUACGGGAGGCAGCAGUGGGGAAUAUUGGCAAAUGGGGGCAACCCUAAUCAAGCCAUGCCGCGUGUGUCAAGAAGGCCUUUUGGUUGUAAAGCACUUUAAGCAGUGAAGAAGACUCUAGGGUUAAUACCCUUAGACGAUGACAUUAGCUGCAGAAUAAGCACCGGCUAACUCUGUGCCAGCCGCCGCAGUAA